AUAUUUUAUGUUUUCCUGCAUGAGUUAUGGUGUUAAUAAAAAAAAAUAAAAAAAAAAAAAAAUAACUGUUCUUAUCAGUUUAAUAUCUGAUACGUCCCCUAUCCGGGGACUACAUAUUAAAAUUGAUUUUUGGAUCACGGAGCUGGAGCCGGGGCUUGCUCUGUCCACUCCACGCAUCGGCCUGGUAUUGCAGUGUCUCCAGGAACGGUGUGCUUCCC
rnacentral:snRNA from 1 species